rnacentral:rRNA from 1 species
CGGAGGGCGUAGCGUUGUUCGGAAUUACUGGGCGUAAAGCGCACGUAGGCGGACCAGAAAGUUAGGGGUGGAAAUCCCGGGGCGUCAACCUCGGAACUGCCUUCAAACUAUUGGUCUGGAGUUCGAGAGAGGUGAGUGGAAUUCCGAGUGUAGAGGUGAAAUUCGUAGAUAUUCGGAGGAACACCAGUGGCGAAGGCGGCUCACUGGCUCGAUACUGACGCUGAGGUGCGAAAGCGUGGGGAGCAAACAGGAUU